ACUCCUACGGGUAAGCUGCAGUAGGGAAUAUUGGGCAAAGGACGCAAGUCUGACCCAGCCAUGCCGCGUGCAGGAUGAAGGCCUUCUGGGUUGUAAACUGCUUUUAUCUAGGAAGAAAAUACUCUUGCGAGAGGAACUGACGGUACUAGGUGAAUAAGCACCGGCUAACUCCGUGCCAGCAGCCGCGGUAAUACGGAGGGUGCAAGCGUUGUCCGGAUUUAUUGGGUUUAAAGGGUGCGUAGGCGGCUUUAUAAGUCCGUGGUGAAAUCCAACAGCUCAACUGUUGAACUGCCAUGGAUACUGUAAGGCUUGAGUACAGACGAGGUAGGCGGAAUGGAUGGUGUAGCGGUGAAAUGCAUAGAUACCAUCCAGAACACCGAUUGCGUAGGCAGCUUACUAGGCUGUAACUGACGCUGAGGCACGAAAGCGUGGGGAGCGAACAGGAUUAGAUACCCUGGUAGUCCACGCUGUAAACGAUGAUUACUCGAUGUUGGCGAUACACAGUCAGCGUCUUAGCGAAAGCGUUAAGUAAUCCACCUGGGGAGUACGCCCGCAAGGGUGAAACUCAAAGGAAUUGACGGGGGCCCGCAC
rnacentral:rRNA from 1 species